GAAACUUCGCUUCAGCGCAAAGGCUUGUGGGAGGUUGGAUGACGUCACGAACAUGGCGGUCAUUUCAAGCGACGACAUUUUCAGCUAGGUCGGAGCGGGAUUUCAGUCUAUUUUACAGGGAAAAGACUACAGGAUGCAGGACGACUUCAUUGACUCCUUCUUCUUUGGACAUAGUGAUGCAGAAAAUAACAGGAAGAAUGCAGAAUCACAAUACAGCUGCAGUAUCCCCCCACCCCCUUCAUCCAUGGAUGAGUUUCCCUCCACACAACUGCUUCAAGCAUCUCAGGGACCACUGUCUCAAUUUGAAGACAGACAGCAAGG